GCUGGAAACAGCCUGUGCGAGGCGUACCUUUGUGAGGGGCGGGAGCCCGCGAACAGGAGUCUGGGACUGAUUCCGGAACCCGCUGAGAUUCCAACCAAUCAGAGCGCGGGACAGGCCGGAGGCGGGGCGGGCGAGAAGAUCUCGCGGGAACGCGGCCUCCGGGCCCUGGAAGCAAGUCUUCUGGACCGGCCUCAGUUCUGGGAGGUCCUGUUCCAGGCUGGCUGCUUCGCCGGGGAGCUGUGGCCGACCCCGCGCAGGAGCGGUCAGGGCGCCGGGUGACUGCGGGUGUUGAGCGUGGGGCGGCUUCCGAGUUUCUCACACCGGCGCCGCCAGACGGGGGCGGCCAGGGCCAUUUCUGAGAGAAAACAACUCCCAGUUUGCUGCGGCUGAGCACAGAAUCGACACCUUCUCCUCUUCUCAGCCCCACAGUGACAGACUGUGCAGAUGCUGGUCCCAGGUGGCCGGAGUCCCAUUUCUUUUCCACAAGAAAGGGGCAAAAGAGCAGAAAAUGAAAAUGGUCUGCAUUCUCCGUGGUCACCCUGCCCUCUGUUCCUUACUAUAAAGACUACACGCCUGGACACGUAUUGAAGAUUGGGCCCACAACAUCAUGAAAGCCAGGCAAGC